UAUGUAGCAAGCGCCUAGCCUUUAGCAAUAUAAACGGGGCUCUAACCACAGACAAACGGCAGAUUUCUAACAAUCAUAUUUCCAAUCGAUUCAUCAUUUUAUCGCAAGUGUAACACGAAAUACAGAACCGUUUAAGCUUCACAUUGUGUUUCUAGCUUGACGUUGUUUAGGCUCCACGACGUCCGCAAUGGUUAGCUCUCAUAGCCACCAUGGGCUAUCGCUAACUAGCCGCCCUGUCACCUUGGCUGUCAUCUCCAGAACUGCUCACGCUCGAGCCUCAACGUCCUUGAGACCAACUGGAAAUAUACGGGUGAGACUGGAGACUGAGGAAACGGACCAAACACAGGAGAUUAGUAGUAAGUGUCAGUCCCUCUCAGCUCCAGAUGGCUCCUGGUUCUGAGCCAGUGGGACAUGGCUUCCCUCUUCUGCUCCACUGGUGGAAGAAGACAAGCAGGAGUCAGUGUUUCAGUAAGUUCAGACCGGCGUCUCCGCGGGCGUCACACGGGCGUCGUUGAGGGUCAACCAUCCGGCGCCGUCCUCUCCAGCGACGUCACUGACGUAGUGGCCUGGGGGACACAAGACAUCCAUUACCUUACUGUCCCCCAGCGUGGGACGGGUCUAGUGUCUGACGCGUGUGUCAGCUCUCUCCCUGGCCCCUCUCACCCCAUGAACUUCCUGAAGACCUCUGUCCCUGUCUCCUGCACUGUCAAGAUGAUCCACUGCUGCUGAGAAACA